AAGACUAAUACCCAAUGAUAUCUCUAGAAGACAUCUGAAAGAGAUUAAAGAUUUAUCGGUGAUGGAUGGGGAUGCGUCUGAUUAGCUUGUUGGCGGGGUAACGGCCCACCAAGGCGACGAUCAGUAGGGGUUCUGAGAGGAAGGUCCCCCACAUUGGAACUGAGACACGGUCCAAACUCCUACGGGAGGCAGCAGUGAGGAAUAUUGGUCAAUGGACGAGAGUCUGAACCAGCCAAGUAGCGUGCAGGAUGACGGCCCUAUGGGUUGUAAACUGCUUUUAUAAGGGAAUAAAGUGAGUCUCGUGAGACUUUUUGCAUGUACCUUAUGAAUAAGGACCGGCUAAUUCCGUGCCAGCAGCCGCGGUAAUACGGAAGGUCCGGGCGUUAUCCGGAUUUAUUGGGUUUAAAGGGAGCGUAGGCCGGAGAUUAAGCGUGUUGUGAAAUGUAGACGCUCAACGUCUGCACUGCAGCGCGAACUGGUUUCCUUGAGUACGCACAAAGUGGGCGGAAUUCGUGGUGUAGCGGUGAAAUGCUUAGAUAUCACGAAGAACUCCGAUUGCGAAGGCAGCUCACUGGAGCGCAACUGACGCUGAAGCUCGAAAGUGCGGGUAUCGAACAGGAUUAGAUACCCUGGUAGUCCGCACGGUAAACGAUGGAUGCCCGCUGUUGGUCUGAAUAGGUCAGCGGCCAAGCGAAAGCAUUAAGCAUCCCACCUGGGG
rnacentral:rRNA from 1 species